GCAAACUUUAAAAAUAGCAGGUCAGAUUGCACAAGAGGGAUUUAAAAAAAAAAAAGUAAAUAUAAGGACCAUGUAAUUUCUCUUCAAAAGACUUAGGUUUUUACUUAGGUGGAAAUUGAUACCUCAACUUUGUUGGCAUGAGUUGUAUUUCUUUUUCAUCAUAACAGGGUAACUCUGAGACACACAGUACUGGGUGGAAGGUUGGGAGGGUAGCAGAAGCAGCUUGGGGUAAAUGCUAUAUAGCUUUCCCAAAGGUAAUUACCGAUAAACAGAAGACAGCAUCUCCACUGUUUUUGUCCUGUCUUUAGAUGCAAAGUCUUGGGGUGAUAGGAGUGCAGUCCUACCUGAGAGGGUUUGGGGAGCAUGCUCAAGAGCAGCACAUGUCUUGAAUACCUACCAUGUGCUUUCUGUAGUUAUCUCCUUCAUUUUGGCUGGGGCACCCAAAGAAGGAUCUUCAGUCAUUUCCAUUUUCUAGCGUUCAGGUUGCAGGAGGUGGAGACUCACCUAUAGUCAAGCCUGGGAAGGACUGGGAGGUCCUUCCUGCUGCCCACCUGCUGUGGAUAUCUGUUCUGUUUCCCACCCAUUCAUUCCCAUGGGGGAGGCCUGAGAUUCUUAGCCUCCUGUUCGGGGUCCUCGGUCGCCCUUGGAGAAUAAGGAUUGCUCUGGGGGCAGGGGCUGGGGGAUUGCAGUCUUGGCCCCUUCACCUGCAGGACUUGGCUCACAGUGUGACCUGCCUUUCCCCACCUCAUCACCCCACUUGGGGACAGAUCAGUUGGUCCCAAGAGGAGGGAUUUUAAGAGGGAAGAAGAGAGAGUCUGCAGAAGAAAUUUCCCAAGAUGGAUCUCAGAGAACUUCCUUUCAUCUUUCUGACCUCAAAUGGGCACUGCCAGGGUUGUUCUAGCUGGUGAUAGGUGCCAUGUAGACUGGUCAAGCCACACACUUCCUCAUCCGAGUCACCCUGAAUUCUCAUGACUCCCAGAGGAAUUGUUUGCACCCUUUUCUGCAAAAACCAUGUUCAACCCCUCCCCCCAGCACACACACACACACACACACACACACAGUCUGGACCUGGGAGAGCACUUGCCAGUCCAACCACUUCCGGGACGACCCAUGAGUGCAGGUCCACCUGGCCCAGCCCCACCUGAUCCCUACCACCUGUGGGCAGAGGGGUCAUCCCAAGGGCCCAUUUGACUGCAGCUUGGUUCAUCCAGGCUCCCUGACUUGAUGGAGUGUUUCUUUGUCUGGAAGAGCUGGGGUAGCCAGAUGGACUCUGUGGGGCCACGGGGCUUCAACGUGGUUAUAUAUUCUGUUUCCAGUUGAGAAUCGGUGAACACACAUUGGAGGUGCUCUGUAAAUUGUAUGGGAGCGCUCCGGAAGUCUGGGGUCUUCGUGUGGUUUACAAUGUGCACUGGGUCUCUUCCUGUUCCCUGUAUCUGUAUUAACCCAGUCACCCCGGCUUUGGGGAAGACUGGAGCUGGGCUUGAAUCUGGGGAAGGGCCACAAUGAGGGAUCAAAAGUCUGCUCCACACAGUGCUCCUAACCCUGGAUCCCCAGGUAGCAGAAUCUGGUCCUUAGAGCAGGUUCCCGAGGGAGGCCAGGUUCCCUGAUGGGGCUCCCAUAGUGGCCCCUCCCUGCCUGGAAAUUCUCAGUAGUGUAUACAUGCAUAAAAGGAAAAGAGGCUGCAAUCUAUUCCCGUUCACACCGCGAUCACACCUGAAGUUGGGAAGCUGUUAGGGUUUGGGAGAAAACCUUCACCGUCACAGACAGAAGGAAGGUCUCCUCCCUUGACUCCUCAUCUGUAAACUUCUUCCCUCUGUGAGAAGCGGCCAGCACAACUAUCCUCAACAGGAGGUGAGCCUAGGGGAAGAGGGGCACUGCGUGGCUGGAGGGCAAGGUGGUCAACACACUCCAAUCUCCACUGAACCUUUAGAGGUUUCCCUUCAGGAAAUGAGGCUGGGGUGCUGUGUGACCGACGUCAGGGCAGUGGGCACAAGAAGUCUCAGAGCCAGGAGGGCCAGUAGGGACCCAGGGAGGUGCCCCAACCUCGUUCCUGCCACAGAAGUCAGUGCUCAGAACCGCCUCGGGGAUAAGCAUCCCAGCCUGGGGGCACGCAGGCUCAAAGGGAAGAGCUGGGUCACCGGAAGGCGAGCUCAGGGGAGGGGGCUCUAUCAGUUCCCUCACUCACCCUGCCUGCAGAGCCCCCAGGGGCCAUCCUUUGAUCUGCUGACCUCCUCAUUGACCCUAGAGCCUGGCACUGAAAGGGGUCUGGAAAGGGGAGCCUAUGAUGCAGCAAUCAGAAGACCCCCCACACACACACACUGAAACCGCAGGUGGGUCUUGUCCACCUCCAGCUCUCUCCUGCUUGGCCUUGCCCUGCACACCUGGACAUCAUAUUGCCCUUUGAGCCCAAACAGGGCUUGGUAAGGAGUCCGGGAGAAGCUGCAGCUUAUAAACACACGAAACCCUGAAACAACUGGGCCUCCUAUUUUCAAAAAUGUCUCCAGAUACCAAGAUCUCUGCUUUAUGCCCAGCUUCCCUGAACAUGAAGAGAAGGGGGCCCAGCAGGUUGCCCAGGGCUGAGCCCUGUCCGAACUUCUUCUCUUACACAGACUGGAAGCUCAGGGCCACAUGGAGAAACAAACCGGGAGAGGUGAGGGGGCUCAGCAGCUUCUGAGCCAUGCUGGGGAGCUCCCUCAGCCCAGGAAGGCUCCUCGAGAAAGCUGUAUCCUUGCUAGGGGAUUCCCACUUGUCAUUCAUUGCAGGCUCCUGCGUGGCCCCCUCACUUCAUACUGUCAGGAUCAAGGCAGAUAAAUGCACACGGGGGUGGGGGCUAUGUCAGAAUGCCCCUGCACUAGCCCUCUCUAAACUACCUAGAUCUGACCUCCAGUGCUGGUGAGGCUUGCACAGAACCAUCAGUUUUAAGACCGUGAACAAUGCUUGGGUGCCUCACAAAAGCCCAGCUUCCGUGACUUAGUGAUUGAAGGCCACUUCAUAAAACCUCCACAGUGUUCUUGUCAAGUCUGAAGAGGCCACUAGCACACCUUUCUAAUCCACCUGUCACCCACCCACCCCCGCAGGAGGAGGAG
rnacentral:lncRNA from 1 species